CUAACUCUGUUUACAAGCUGAAAAUGGAUAAACAGGACACUAUCCGAUGUAGAGAUUUGAGUCUCAAACAAGACCGACCUGUCUCUUAUGAAGAGCUAAAAGAUCACUCUUCCUACUCUGAUGCAUGGUUAUCAAUCAAUGGGAUUGUUUAUGACAUCACAAACUUCAUUGAAAAGCAUCCAUUUGGAGAUACGUUCAGGGGUCAUCUUGGCAGCGAGUGUGGUGGAUUGUUCUCUGCAGCUCAUGUCAAUACUAAUGUAGAAUCACUGCUCAAAAGUGAGAAUUUCCGCAGAAAAAAUUACAUUAAAGUUAUUGGUCAGUUGGAUGUAGCUGACUAUCAUUUGCAUCAAGAUAAGACCAUGGCCUUGAAGUUUUUGGAUCGAAUUGUUUACAAAGAUACCAACAAAGACGAGUUCUGGCAAGAUUUGAAAAAUGGUGUUGCUGCUUUCUUGAAGGAAAACAACGAGACUACCCACUACUCAAAUGAGGUGAUUUACUGCAUGCGUUUGCAUGGUUUCUGGAUGGGGUUGGCUGUGUUUGCUGUUUAUGCUGUGACUCUGUCACAAACUGCCUUUAUCCUGCUGUUCAAUGAUCAUGAAGAAACCCAUCAAGUCUUGGGGGAGGCAAAGGAUGCCAAGGACUUUCAUGGAAAAAAAUCAUGGGCUGAAGUUCAAGUACGUGCUUCUGGUAAUUGGUAUCCUACUAACUGGCUUCUUGCUUUUAUCGAGUUUCACUAUGGCUACUUUAACUAUCAUAUCGAGCACCAUCUCUUUCCGACUCUGAAGCCAAUUUUGUUGAAGAAGAUCAGCCCAGUUGUGAGGAAGGUUUGUAUGAAGCAUGGUAUUCCAUACAUAUCAACACCAUUUGGAAGAGUUCAGACCUCACUGCAAGAACAUAUCAAUAAAUUAUCCAAUCAUUGAUGUAACAAAGUAAUCGUAGUGGUUUAAAUGUAUGUGUAUAUCUUAUGAUAGCUUUUGUUUUUGUUUGCCACAAUAA